UCCAGAGGUCUCAAGCGUUGUUCGGAUUCAUUGGGCGUAAAGGGCGCGUAGGCGGCGGGGUAAGUCUGGUGUGAAAUCUCGGAGCUCAACUCCGAAAUUGCACUGGAUACUGCUCUGCUUGAGGGUUGGAGAGGAGAUCGGAAUUCACGGUGUAGCAGUGAAAUGCGUAGAGAUCAUGAGGAAGACCAGUGGCGAAGGCGGGUCUCUGGACAGUUCCUGACACUGAGACACGAAGGCCAGGGGAGCAAACGGG
rnacentral:rRNA from 1 species